UGGGGANUCUUCCGCAAUGGACGAAAGUCUGACGGAGCAACGCCGCGUGAGUGAUGACGGCCUUCGGGUUGUAAAGCUCUGUUAAUCGGGACGAAAGGCCUUCUUGCGAAUAGUUAGAAGGAUUGACGGUACCGGAAUAGAAAGCCACGGCUAACUACGUGCCAGCAGCCGCGGUAAUACGUAGGUGGCAAGCGUUGUCCGGAAUUAUUGGGCGUAAAGCGCGCGCAGGCGGAUUGGUCAGUCUGUCUUAAAAGUUCGGGGCUUAACCCCGUGAUGGGAUGGAAACUGCCAAUCUAGAGUAUCGGAGAGGAAAGUGGAAUUCCUAGUGUAGCGGUGAAAUGCGUAGAUAUUAGGAAGAACACCAGUGGCGAAGGCGACUUUCUGGACGAAAACUGACGCUGAGGCGCGAAAGCCAGGGGAGCGAACGGGAUUAGAUACCCCGGUAGUCCUGGCCGUAAACGAUGGGUACUAGGUGUAGGAGGUAUCGACCCCUUCUGUGCCGGAGUUAACGCAAUAAGUACCCCGCCUGGGGAGUACGACNNCAAGGUUG
rnacentral:rRNA from 1 species